CGUUCGACUAUCUUUUUUCUUUCGUACGCAUGCGAACACAAAUGUCAAAAUCAGUCACUUGUGUGAUUGCUAUCGUAUAAUAACAAUUAAGGAAAAUUGUUUUAACAUAAACAUUGCUUGAUUGAAAAUGGAAACAAAAAUCACGAAAAAAUCAUCAACUACACAGCUGCGGGCACUAGUAUAUGGAGGAGAAUCCUGUGUUCGCCAGAGGAGUGCCAAUUUUUGGAAGCAGCAGAAGAAGUUUUAAAUCGGGGCGGAUUUGGGUAGUUCUGCAACCGGGCACCCUCUUCUCUUCCAUCAUAUCCAAAAGAGCCCGAAAACUUCCUUCGACACACGAAAAUUGGCCACAAACCUUGAAAAAAUUAUUAUUAUUUUUUAUUAUUUCAAAAAUGUAAAAAUACAAUCAUACUUACUGGUUGUUAGGUACUUCAAAUAAAUUCGAAGCAUCUCUUAAA